rnacentral:rRNA from 1 species
GAUGAACGCUGGCGGCGUGCCUAAUACAUGCAAGUCGAGCGAACAGACGAGGAGCUUGCUCCUCUGACGUUAGCGGCGGACGGGUGAGUAACACGUGGAUACCCUACCUAUAAGUCUGGGAUAACUUCGGGACACCGGAGCUUAUACCGGAUAAUCUCUUGAACCGCAUGGUUCAAUAGUGAAAGACGGUUUUGCUGUCACUUAUCGAUGGUUCUGCGCCGCAUUAGCUGGUUGGUAAGGUAACGGCUUACCAAGGCAACGAUGCGUAGCCGACCUGACAGGGUGAUCGGCCACACGAGAGGUGAGACACGGACCAGAGUACUGCGAGAGGGAGCAGUCGGGAAUCUUCCGCAGUAGUCGAGAGCGUGGCAGAACAACGGCGCGUGAGUUGUGAAGGUCUUCCGAUCGUAAAACUGUGUUAUUAGGGAAAAACAAAUUUGUAAGUAACUAUGCACGUCUUGACGGUACCUAAUCAGAAAGCCACGGCUAACUACGUG